rnacentral:rRNA from 1 species
GUGGGGACACAGGCAGAGAGCGUGAGCCGGGAAUGGAAAGACCGGUACAAGCGAGGUAGGAGAAGAGUUGGCAAAUCCGCUCUUUAAUCUGAAGACGUGAUGUGGACUGAAAAUAAGUAGGGAAGCACGUGAGCUGACUGUCAAGAAAAGCCGCUAUUGUUUGCAGGAUACCCGUACCGUAAACCGACACAGGUGGAUGAGGAGAGAAUCCUAAGGCCGACGGGAGAAGCAUUGUUAAGGAACUCGGCAAAAUGACUCCGUAACUUCGGGAGAAGGAGUGCCAGUAAGAUGGCCGCAGAGAAUUGGCCCAAGCAACUGUUUAGCAAAAACACAGGUCUAUGCAAAACCGAAAGGUGAGGUAUAUGGGCUGACGCCUGCCCGGUGCUGGAAGGUUAAGGGGAGAGGUUAGCGCAAGCGAAGCUUUGAACUUAAGCCCCAGUAAACGGCGGCCGUAACAAUAACGGUCCUAAGGUAGCGAAAUUCCUUGUCGGGUAAGUUCCGACCCGCACGAAAGGCGUAAUGAUUUGGGCACUGUCUCAACAAUGCACCCGGUGAAAUUGAAAUACCAGUGAAGAUGCUGGUUACCUGCGCCAGGACGGAAAGACCCCAUGGAGCUUUACUCCAGCUUGAUACUGGGAUUCGGUAUUGCAUGUACAGGAUAGGUGGGAGGCUAGGAAAUGGUAACGCCAGUUGCCAUGGAGCCAAUGUUGGGAUACCACCCUUGCAGUACUGGGUUUCUAACCAGCAGCCGUGAUCCGGCUGGGGGACAAUGUCAGGUGGGGAGUUUGACUGGGGCGGUCGCCUCCGAAAGGGUAUCGGAGGCGCUCAAAGGUUCCCUCAGAAUGGUUGGAAACCAUUCGAAGAGUGCAAAGGCAGAAGGGAGCUUGACUGCGACACCGACGGGUGGAGCAGGUACGAAAGUAGGACUUAGUGAUCCGGUGGUAUAAAGUGGGAUUGCCAUCGCUCAACGGAUAAAAGCUACCCUGGGAUAACAGGCUUAUCACUCCCAAGAGUUCACAUCGACGGAGUGGUUUGGCACCUCGAUGUCGGCUCAUCGCAUCCUGGGGCUGAAGUAGGUCCCAAGGGUUGGGCUGUUCGCCCAUUAAAGCGGUACGCGAGCUGGGUUCAGAACGUCGUGAGACAGUUCGGUCCCUAUCCGGCGUGGGCGUAAGAUAUUUGAGAGGAGCUGUCCUUAGUACGAGAGGACCGGGAUGGACAGGCCGCUGGUGUAUCUGUUGUCUUACCAAAAGCAUAGCAGAGUAGCCAAGCCGGGAAGGGAUAAACGCUGAAGGCAUCUAAGCGUGAAGCCCCCCUCAAGAUGAGAUAUCUCAUAACGUCAAGUUAGUAAGACCCCUUGAAGACGACGAGGUAGAUAGGGCAGAGGUGGAAGUGUGGUAACACAUGGAGCUGACUGUUACUAAUAGGUCGAGGGCAUAACC